GCCAAAUUGUGUCUUUUAUGGAAAAGAAUGACAAAUGGUUUAAUUCAAUAUCACACGCAUGUGUAUAUAUGAGCUGAAAUUCUGUUUGAACUCAAAGCUGUUAGGCAAAUAUUUUAGUCUCAUCGCAAGUUUAAAAACAACAGACAUGUGGGAGUACAUCCAUUUAUUUACACUUGUACUGACUUAAAAUUCAAAAUGUUAUUUGAUGCUUUUAAAGUACUGCUGUGGGAUGUUAAAUUACUGAUGAAUUCUUACUGUUCUGAGAUACCUUUCAACCUGCCAAGAUGCAUGAUGAUGAUAAUAAUAAUAAUAACAGCAGUAGGGCAGGGAUCUUUAAAAUAAUGCGGGGCUCAUUCCUGUAAGAUAAAUAUCAUUUUCACUAACCCCCGUUUUAUGAUUCAGCAUUUCUGAUGCAGCAAAGUGAAAUAAUGAAACUAAAAUGACAACAGGUUCGUGUGGGAUGGGAAAGGGAAAACGAGCACAGGCAUUGUCAGGAUUUCUGUAGAAAUUUAGGGGGAAAAAUCUCCUCUAAAUGGCACUUACUCCCCCCUCCCAAGGAAAAUACCUCCUCUUGUUUUUACUGUUCACUAAAUUUCCUUCUUUUAUUCCUUUUUCUGAUCUCAUCCUUUUGUUCCCCUUCCCUCCUCAGAUGCUUCUCCUUCCUCCUCGCAGCGGGAGGCUGCUGGCAGCUGGGGAUGUCGAGCCACGGCCGCGGAUGGCGGGGGGCUUGCUGGCAGAAUCCUGGUGAAAUGCAGUAAAGGAUUUAAGGUUAUCGUCUGUCUCUCUCUAACUUCUGACAUCUCUUUAUAACAAGAAAGAGUCACAGCCAACUGUAACAGGAGGGCAACACAAUGAAUCCUGGCUGGCAUUCAGAGAGACUCAGGAUGCAGAGACAGUAACUGCCACACGACACUGUUUCCUGCCUUCCCCGGGCUGUCCAAAGUUAAUGAUUCAUAAGAUUCUGCACUGAUUUCACUGCGAGCUUCCACAUGUUUAACAGCUAUUGAUGUACAACACUGUAAAGCUUUGGGACCGUCCUCUCUAUUCUGUAUCUUAUCAGAGCUACUACAGAAUGACUGAGGAUUGCAACCUUACACGGUGCAGGUAUGCUGUAAAGACAAAGUAAGAAAACCAGCAUAGCGACAUGGUGACUAUAAAGGAGAGAGAUGAAGCAGAUGAAAUUAAUAAAACAUGUAUGGAUUUUUAACAGCUUUUGAUGAUAACAGUUUUGGUACAUAAGUGGUAAGUAAAGACUUACUGGUCUGAUCCAAGCUCUUUGAAGAUACUUGGACUGAAGAUUUCUAACAAUGCAGUUCUCUACAUUUACCUUCCUACAAAAAACAUGCUCACUGUGGA